UAGGAGAUUAAAGCCCCGAGCUGACAGCUCUUUAAUCUCUGGUGCUUUGUUAGCAGACCAUGUGGUGUAGAAACAGCAGUGCCUUAUGGGGAAUAGGCCUGGGACGAAGUCAUCCACAACAUUGCACAUCAUCAGCAGCUGAGAUAGAGGAGACAUUCUCGUCUACAUCUGCUCUGGCGGUGAAACAAUGGCAGACUGAUGACAGCUCACUCUGGGCGGGUCUAAGGACACAACUGGCACUAGCCACUCUGCUUGGCACCGAGACACAGCUGUCAAUGUGACACUCCAGCCAGAUGUCACCAAAUCAGGGCUGUCCUAGGAGGGACAUCCCCAGACUGACAGCGGACAUGGUGACCUGCAACAAAGACAUGCAGAACUCUGAUGGCGUCAUAAGUAAACAUCAAGCAGAAAGUAUGUUUCACCGUUAAACUCUUAUAAGUGUAUUACCUGUACAUGAUUGUUGACCUAAGCCACUCUCAAGGUGGCAUUUGGGCAACACUGAAUAUAGCAUAGAGCUGAUUUUAGAUGUUAUGCAACGUUGUUUGAGCACAUGUUACGACUAAUACCUGCAUCCAGCAGUUCGUCAUUACUGUAAAUCACCUCACAGAUCUAGUAUAUGGAUUAUAGUGCUUGCAUAACGUAAUUAUGUAAUUCUUGGUAACAUUUUAUGAAACCAUGUUUUAUGAAUCAUACUAAAUUGCCUGCAGUUCUUGGAUAAAAUGGGAUUGAUUGUGAUUUUUUUUUUUUUUGUAGUGCAGGGGUUUUCAAACUUUAAAUGCCAUGAAGCCCCAAGAUACGAUACCCUUGUGAGACACCCCCUUCCUGAAACAAAGACAUCUGUAUAUCUUUUGUAUAAAGACCCAUUUAUGAAAUAUAAUAAAUAUGAAGGAGAGGUAAACA
ensembl:lncRNA